GAUGAACGCUGGCGGCGUGCCUAAUACAUGCAAGUCGAGCGAACAGACGAGGAGCUUGCUCCUUUGACGUUAGCGGCGGACGGGUGAGUAACACGUAGGUAACCUACCUAUAAGACUGGGAUAACUUCGGGAAACCGGAGCUAAUACCGGAUAAUAUUUCGAACCGCAUGGUUCGAUAGUGAAAGAUGGCUUUGCUAUCACUUAUAGAUGGACCUGCGCCGUAUUAGCUAGUUGGUAAGGUAACGGCUUACCAAGGCAACGAUACGUAGCCGACCUGAGAGGGUGAUCGGCCACGCUGGAACUGAGACACGGUCCAGACUCCUACGGGAGGCAGCAGUAGGGAAUCUUCCGCAAUGGGCGAAAGCCUGACGGAGCAACGCCGCGUGAGUGAUGAAGGUCUUCGGAUCGUAAAACUCUGUUAUUAGGGAAGAACAAACGUGUAAGUAACUGUGCACGUCUUGACGGUACCUAAUCAGAAAGCCACGGCUAACUACGUG
rnacentral:rRNA from 1 species